GGCUACUAUGACAAAGUACCACAGAGUGGGUGGCUUAAACAACAGAUAUUUGUUUCCUUACAGUUCCAGAGGCUUUAAGUCCAAGAUCAGG